rnacentral:lncRNA from 1 species
AUGGCCCCAGGGCGAGAUCAGAUCACCGGCCACAGGUUGUUGACAAAGCCUGAUUCCUGCCUCCUCUCCCACUCGGUGGGGGCAGGGCGGGCCUGGAAGAGGGCCAGGGUGCUAUUGCCCCACCAACCCUCAUCCCCCAGCACAGAAGGGUGGACAACAUCCCGAGGGGUCCUCGGAGAAUGCAGGUGCCCAGACAUCAGGAGUCAGAGGAGAGGACGGAGGAAGCGAGGAAGCGCCGAGACACGCCGAACUGCCCUCCGGAACUCUCCCCGAGGACGCCGCCCCGCAGACCUUCUCACUCAGAGCUCACUGGGCAGACCCCCGCCCGGGGAACCCCGGCCGGCCGAUUGCAGCUCCCAGCCGGGAAAGGAGCGGUGGACGGACAGUUUUAUGUCUAGGUAUUCCAGCACAGUUGGUAACACAAGCAUUUCCCCAUCUUCAUAAGAAGUCCUCUCAACACCAUGGUACAUGGGCACUUAGUAUUCCAUUGUGUCGGUCUGUCAGACUUUACUCAACCAUUCACAGGAUAUAGGAAUCAAAAAAGGGAACAGUCCAAAGCUGUUUCAGGUAUGCCCCAUCCCACCCCAGGGAAUGAGCCCCAAACUGCAUCCUCAGAUGUGCUUGAGAGACCGAGAACCAACAGAAGAGAGGACACUGGAGGAAACAAGAGCUAAUGCAGGGACCAGAAGAAAACUUCAGACGAUCUUCCUCAGAUAGGGAAAGACAAAGCACCCAUGCGACUAGGAGAGGGCACUUCAGAAAACAGGAGGAAAACAAAAAAGAGUCCUUGUAAGGUACAAAAUAAUAUCUGAAAACUUAAAAAUUUGGUAGAAGGAUUGAAAGAAGGAGUUGAAGAAAUCUCACAGAAGAAAGAACAAAAAUCAGAGAGACAGAAACUAAGGGAUGGUGGAGGAUCCAUAUGGGAGGUCAGAGGGACAGAGUUUCCAAAGACCAGCGGAGGAGGAAGACCAUUGUGAAAAGUAAUACAAAGUUCUUCCUAGAACUUCCCUAGUGGGAAAGUCUGCCAAGUACUCGGCACAAUAAAAACAGCAAACCAGCUAAUGGAUUAAAAAAUUCAACCAUGUUGCAUCCUCAUGAAAUUUCAAACUCAUCAGAAUAAAGAGAAGAUAUGGAAAGUUUCUAGAGUGUGAACAGAGGUCUCCUGGAGAUGGGCACUGUUCAGCAUGGCAUCAGACCUGUUGCCGGCAGUUGAGGGAGCCACGUUCCCAGUGACAGGAUUUCUCACCUUAUAUCUUCUUACCAGGGCCACCAUCUUCCAAGUUAUGCCACAGGUUGCGAGGGCAGAAUAAGGACAUUUCCAGACACCAGAGGACUCUUAACUUCCCAUGCAGUUCUUCUUAAGAAGCUCCAAGCUUGAGCCACCCAGCAUGGAGUGGGGUGCCAUCCAGUCAAGAAGACACUGGAUUUUGAAAGCUUAGUAUAAAAAUAGAACAUAAAGUGUCAUGAAUCGUGUGUGCUGGUACAUGUUGAAGGAAUCAUCUUCCCGACAAAUUGGGUCAAAUAAAAGGUUUUGUUGUUCAGUCACUAAAUC